GGCUCAUCUCAUCCUGGGGCUGGAGCAGGUCCCAAGGGUAUGGCUGUUCGCCAUUUAAAGAGGUACGUGAGCUGGGUUCAGAACGUCGCGAGACAGUUCGGUCCCUAUCUGCCGUAGGUGUAGGAGAAUUGAGAGGAUCUGACUCUAGUACGAGAGGACCGAGUUGGACGCACCUCUGGUGGACCUGUUGUCGCGCCAGCGGCACAGCAGGGUAGCUAUGUGCGGACGGGAUAACCGCUGAAGGCAUCUAAGCGGGAAACCCACCUCGAAACAAGUUCUCCCUUGAGAGCCGUGGAAGACCACCACGUUGAUAGGCCGGGUGUGGAAGUGCAGCAAUGCAUGCAGCUUACCGGUACUAAUAGCUCGAUUGGCUUGAUUCG
rnacentral:ncRNA from 1 species